CCGGGUGAGUAACACGUAUCCAACCUGCCGUCUACUCUUGGACAGCCUUCUGAAAGGAAGAUUAAUACAAGAUGGCAUCAUGAGUCCACAUGUUCACAUGAUUAAAGGUAUUCCGGUAGACGAUGGGGAUGCGUUCCAUUAGAUAGUAGGCGGGGUAACGGCCCACCUAGUCUUCGAUGGAUAGGGGUUCUGAGAGGAAGGUCCCCCACAUUGGAACUGAGACACGGUCCAA
rnacentral:rRNA from 1 species